rnacentral:rRNA from 1 species
AGAUUCACUCUGGCCAAGGAACUCGGCAAAAUAACCCCGUAACUUCGGAAGAAGGGGUGCUCUCUAGGGUGACAUGUUUAACAUAUGAAGCCCCGGGGAGCCGCAGUGAAUUGGUGGUGGCGACUGUUUACUAAAAACAUAGGUCUGUGCGAAGUCCUAAAGACGACGUAUACGGACUGACGCCUGCCCGGUGCUGGAAGGUUAAAAGGAGGGGUCAGCGCAAGCAAAGCUCCGAAUUGAAGCCCCAGUAAACGGCGGCCGUAACUAUAACGGUCCUAAGGUAGCGAAAUUCCUUGUCGGGUAAGUUCCGACCUGCACGAAUGGCGUAACGAUCUCCACACUGUCUCGGCCAGAGACUCGGUGAAAUUGCAGUCGCGGUGAAAAUUCCGUGUACCCGCAGAAAGACGGAAAGACCCUGUGCACCUUUACUAUAGCUUGACAUUGGAUUUUGGGCCUGCAUGUGUAGGAUAGGUGGGAGGCUGUGAACCCUGUACGCCAGUAUGGGGGGAGCCAUCCUUGAAAUACCACCCUUGCAUGUUUAAGAUCCUAACUUCUUCCGGUUAUCCCGGAGAAAGACAGUGUCUGGCGGGUAGUUUGACUGGGGCGGUCGCCUCCUAAAGUGUAACGGAGGCAUGCAAAGGUUCCCUCAGCCUGAUCGGAAACCAGGCGCUGAGUGCAAACGCAUAAGGGAGCUUGACUGUAAGAGAGACAUCUCGAACAGGAACGAAAGUUGGCGUUAGUGAUCCGGUGGUCCCGAAUGGAAGGGCCAUCGCUCAUUGGAUAAAAGGUACGCCGGGGAUAACAGGCUGAUCGCAUCCAAGAGUUCACAUCGACGAUGCGGUUUGGCACCUCGAUGUCGGCUCAUCACAUCCUGGGGCUGAAUCAGGUCCCAAGGGUACGGCUGUUCGCCGUUUAAAGUGGUACGCGAGCUGGGUUUAAAACGUCGUGAGACAGUUUGGUCCCUAUCUUCUGUGGGCGAAGGAGAAUUGAGAGGGCCUGUCCCUAGUACGAGAGGACCGGGAUGGACGCACCCCUGGUGAUCCUGUUGUCGCGCCAGCGGCAUAGCAGGGUAGCUAUGUGCGGAAGGGAUAACCGCUGAAAGCAUCUAAGCGGGAAGCCUGCCUCAAGAUAAGUUCUCCCCUCGAAAGAGCUGAAGGGCCCGGGUAGACUACCCGGUCGAUAGGCUGGAGGUGUAAGCGCGGCGACGUGCUCAGCUGACCAGUACUAAUAGCCCGAGCGGCUUAUUUUU